rnacentral:rRNA from 1 species
UGCGGAUGUUCACCGGGUAUCCCAUCCCUGAGUGAGUGUUCACCCAACCUUUUACUUACCGGAGUUGUUGCAAGCACCAGCCAAUCACCCUCAAUCGAACGAAUUUUUUUUUUUUUGCGUGACCCCCCAACGUGCCAAAGAGUUGCUGGUGGGAAGAACUAUUUACUAAAACUUGAUUUUUAAAAAAAAAUACAAUGUCCGAAUAAUUUCCUUUAAUGAAAUAAAACUUUCAACAACGGAUCUCUAGGCUCUUGCAUCGAUGAAGAACGCAGUGAAAUGCGAUAAGUAAUGUGAAUUGCAGAAUCUCGUGAAUCAUCGAAUCUUUGAACGCACAUUGCGCCCUUUGGUAUUCCAUAGGGCAUCCCUGUCUGAGCGUCAGCUCCCCCUCACUCAAGUAUCCUUUCAUAAGAUACUUGGAUUGCUUUGGAGAGGUAACUGUGUAUUAAGUUGCCCUCCAGAAAUUUAUAGGCAGGAUGGUUUGUACUUGAACCAGACGUAAUAAUAAUAAAAGCGGCCCUUUGAGUAUGAUUGAUUGUACUUGCCUCAACUCCACCCAUUUUUAUUUUGGGUGACCUCAGAUCAGGUAGGGAUACCCGCUGAACUUAAGCAUAUCA